GCUCCAAACUGAAUUGCCUCCACUUGAGAUUUUGUACUUUAGAGGCAACAGUGCUGUCAUUCUGUGGAAAACUCAUAUGGGAUGUAUAAACUUUUUCUGCCAUGGUGAAUGGUGUUUUGUUUUUCCCCUGUAGAUCUAUUUCAUGUGCUCUACAGAAGUGUGUUUACCAGCAGAUAGGCCAUGUGAACAACGGUGCUUUGAUGGAAAGGCACCAUAAGGAUGCUGCAGAAGACUUAAGGGGGGGGGGGGGAAUAAAUCGCAUUUUAUAACACGGUA